CAGUAUUUAAAUCCAAGUUGUUUAGAAAAUAUUGGCACAGUAUCGCACCAGCCAGCCAUCGAUAUUAUUCCUCUACAAUUUUCACCAUGAACGUUUUGAUUUUGUGGACCCUGCUCUUCGGAAUUAUGGCUUUACUUGGCAACAAUAUAACCGAGGCUCGAAAGAGGCAGCACUGGAACCCAGGCUGCAAAGGAAUAAAUUGUUAUGGCGAUAACCCCUUGGGACUGAAACCCCUUAAAGAACUUAAAAGUGGAGCGAAAAAACCCAACGAAAAAGUGAUUUAAUAAAGGGUUGGAAUGGAAUAUUUAAAAUAAAAAAAAAAAAAAUAAAUAAAUAAAUAAAUAAAUUAAAAAACAAAAAAAAAAAAUAAAUAAAUAAAUAAAAUAUAUAUAUAAAAAAAAUAAAAUUAAAUAACAAAUAAUAAAAAAUGGAUUUUGAAAAUUGCAAAUUUUAAGAAUUUUUUUUUUUUUUUGUUGAAAUGUCGAUUUUUUUGAUAUUUCAAGGAUCCACUUACCUGAAAAAUAAUUUUUUAAUUUUUUUCAAUUUGAUUUUGAAAUUUUUGGACUUACCUGAAAACAAAAAAAAUAAUUUUUCCAUUUACAUUUAUUUAAUAAAAAAUAUAAAAAUAAAUAUUUUUUCAACCACAAAAAAUAUAAAACUUUGCCAACUGAUCUCCAUCAAACCACCGACUGUGGUUUUGUGGCCUGUGUGUGUGUGGGGGGUAUUGGAAGGAAAUUUUAUUAUCGAUCAGGGCAAUUUUACUCCGGUUAUCUUUUCAUUUAAGAAUGGCUUUUGUCUGGAUCAGUACUACUCUGGUAGUUGUCUCAAUCAUAUUUUCCCAUCAAGUUGAGGCUAGGGUUGCAAACUUGCAUGGCCGGGAAUCUAGAACCCAAUUUAAUGGCAAUUAUUAUGGCAUGGGGACAAGAGGUUUUUAUAUUUCAAGAGCCCCACCCAUGGUUAAGCCCAUCAAUGAAAGGAUGUUGGAUAUUUUCGAAGCGAUGAUCAAGUCAUUUCGAUAUAAUAUUUUUAGAUCAGAAGAUGAGUAAAUAAAUUAAAAAUAAUUUAAAAGAAA